UCCCAUGAAUUUUCCUCAUCAGCUGC
rnacentral:piRNA from 1 species